rnacentral:rRNA from 1 species
ACGAACGCUGGCGGCGUGCUUAACACAUGCAAGUCGAACGGAAAGGCCCUGCUUUUGUGGGGUGCUCGAGUGGCGAACGGGUGAGUAACACGUGAGUAACCUGCCCUUGACUUUGGGAUAACUUCAGGAAACUGGGGCUAAUACCGGAUAGGAGCUCCUGCUGCAUGGUGGGGGUUGGAAAGUUUCGGCGGUUGGGGAUGGACUCGCGGCUUAUCAGCUUGUUGGUGGGGUAGUGGCUUACCAAGGCUUUGACGGGUAGCCGGCCUGAGAGGGUGACCGGCCACAUUGGGACUGAGAUACGGCCCAGACUCCUACGGGAGGCAGCAGUGGGGAAUAUUGCACAAUGGGCGGAAGCCUGAUGCAGCAACGCCGCGUGCGGGAUGACGGCCUUCGGGUUGUAAACCUCUUUCGCCUGUGACGAAGCGUGAGUGACGGUAAUGGGUAAAGAAGCACCGGCUAACUACGUG